CUUGUACACACCGCCCGUCACACCAUGGGAGUUUGUUGCACCAGAAGUAGGUAGUCUAACCGUAAGGAGGACGCUUACCACGGUGUGGCCGAUGACUGGGGUGAAGUCGUAACAAGGUAGCCGUAGGGGAACCUGCGGCUGGAUCACCUCCUUAACGAA
rnacentral:rRNA from 1 species